CACAGCUAUGCACCAAUCCUCCUGGGUUCAGAGAUGGAACUUGGGUUAAAUGCAUGGAAUUUAUUCUUAGUCCUUUUCUUAAUUACGACUUUUUAUUUCUCUGGUGUUCUCUAGGGGAGGGGUUAGAGAAGAGAGGAAAAGGAAGAAAGAAAGGGGGCAGGGAAAUAUAGAUUCAAUGCUUUUGUUUUGUUUCUGGGCUGCUUGCUAUCAGCAAAGUAGAGAGAUUUAACGGAUCUUGCCGAGAAUGCAAGCCUCAUUCCAAGGAAGCCAGAGCUCAGAAGACAUGGAACAAAUACAAUGAAAACAUAACUUGAGGUCGGAAAAUGUCCCCUGAAUAUUUAUGUCAAUGUCCUACCUUAGUGAAUAUUACUUAAUACUGUGGCUCCUUUAAAGCAUUGUGAUUUCAUUAUGAAGUCAGAUGGAAUGAGGAGUGUGUAAAUCCAGAAUCAGAAUCCCAGCGACGAAGCUUUUCUUGCUCUGUUACCUUGGAAAUUAGAAUUUGAAACAACGGAAAGAGAGAAAUUUUAGGUUAGUAGCUAAAUCCCCAAGGAUACUAAUUAGAGAAAGAUGUUGGAAUUGCCUUAAUGAGUCACUGCCAACGCAAGUCCUAAGGAAGCAAAGACUGUGAGUAAGCAAAGGUAGCCAGCUGCUGGGAAGAGGACAAUAGAGGAAAAGGUCAGAGGGACUUUAAAAGACUGACUGUGGGCUCCCUGAGGGAAGGAGGGAUGGAGAGAGUAUCGGGUCCUAUAGAAUACCUUAAUUGUUUUUAUGACUUCUCUUUUCCAUAUCCAGUUCACAUGUACUCCUUUCUGUGCAUUAAAUUGAGUUUCUAUUGGCUUCUUUGUAACAAAAAGAACUGAACAGAAACACAUAUCUAUUGGACAAAGAGCAAUAAAAUGAUAUAAUAACUGUAUCUGAGGGUUUUUUCAUUUUAAAGAAUAAAACAAAACAAAAAUCAAACAAAAAAAACCAUCUAUCUGAUGUUGCUCCACUCCCAACAGCAUCACUAACCGGUAUGUACCCAGCUUCAGCUAAAUAUCCCUAAAACACCUCUUACUUUCCAAGGCAAAGUCUCCCACUGUUGAGUCGUGUUGACUGAUAAAAAGUUCCCUCUGGGGUAAAAAAAUGAAAUUAGUUUUACCUAUCCUGGGGUCACCUCCAAAUACAUAUGCCUGUAAUGUAUUUCAAUUAGAAUACAUUACACACUCCCUGUCACCUUCACUAGGAGAAAAUCAGCAAAGUCAACCAGCAUUUUUAGUUGUCACAACUAAAAGGUACUCCUAGCAUCUGGUAGGCGGAGGCCAGGGAUGCUGCUAAACAUCCUACAAUGGACAGGACAGCCUCUCACAACAAAGAAUUUCCAGCCCAAAAUGUCAACUUUGCCAAAGUAGAAAAGCCCUGUACUAAAGGAGACCUUCCAUAUAAUAGACGGAACCCCCUCUUAGAAGAGAGGCCUUAGAAAUGCUAUGGUUUUGGAGCUUUUCUAUUGAGCCCCUCAUAUUUUCCAUCAACAGCAAGGCCCAGGUAUUAAUUAUAUGGUCUUAUUCUGUGACCUGGUUUGUCAUUCCUGAAAUAGCUAAAAGUAAAACAGAUGUCAUUUCAAUAUCAAGAAGCAGUGGAACAGAAAGUGCCAAGGAGCAGGUGUAUCAGAUACUCAGAGGUGGUAAAGUCAUGGCUGUCCAUGCUUUGGAGCUAGGGCAUCUACAAUGCAAAGGAAGAUUUUAAAUGUGAAUUUUGUGUUCUGGUCUAUGAGUAGAUGAUUCACGACACUAGUUUGAAAAUGCCUGAGUAAUAACUUGACUUUGUUUCUGCACUGGACAUCUGUUGUUUUUGUUCACUGGCAUCACUUCCCUUUUCUUUUUUUCUUUCUUUUUUUUUUUCUUUUUUUUUUUUUUUUUUUUUUUUGAGACACAGUCUUGCUCUGUCCCCCAGGCUGGAGUGCAAUGGCAUGAUCUCGGCUCACUGCAACCUCCACCUCCCAGGUUCUAGCGAUUCUCCUGCCUCAGCCUCCUGAGUAGCUGGGAAUGCAUGCGCAUGCCACCACGUCUGGCCAAUUUUAUUUUAACUAGAGACAGGGUUUCAUCAUGUUGGCCAAGCUGGUCUCGAACUCCCGACCUCAGGUGAUUCCUCUGCCUCAGCCUCCCAAAGUGCUGGGAUUACAGGCAUGAGCCACCAUUCCCGGCUCCCUUCCCUUUUCUUAUGGGAACAGCAUUGAAUUUUCCUUUGAGAAAAUACCUCUCCCUAUAGGGGUAGUUCCUACAAAGUUUCGAUGGAAUUAUGUCAGAGGCUCUUAUACUUUCACACCAUGGCUUGGCAAGUAUCUCAAUCUAGGCCAAUCAGUCUUUGUUUCCUUAGGAUAUACAUCUUGAGUGAAGUAAUGCGUGAAUGGGAAACAUUUAAAGCUGAUUCAUGUGAAUUGGGAUAGUUCCUGAACAGAAUGCCUACGGUUCUUUCUAU
rnacentral:lncRNA from 10 species